CGGGCAGUCAGUCGACUUGGGCCUUUCGAAUCCUCUCGAUUCAGCCAUCCAUCUUUAAUAGGCAAGAACAACAUACAUAAUGGAUUAACCACUUCCGGAGAUUCACCUGGAACUCCGGAGUAUGUUUUGUGGUGCGGCGGUCAAACAAAACGCAUCCAAUCCUCGACUUUAACAAGGAGGAAACAGGAACCAUAAAGAAGGCAGCGGCGUCCCGACGGGGAAAGCGCGGAAAAACCAACUGAGACGAAUUACUCCGGGAAGGCGCAACCAGAGCCGGCGACGUGAUGAUUCCGCGGAAUUAAAUCACGUAACACAAUAUGGUGGCUGUGGUGACGACUUCGAGGCUACAAAGAGAGGGCAUUUUGUGGCGACAUUAUGUACAUUCGCCCAUUUUUCUUCCAUAAAAAUAAAAGGAAUAAUUCGAAUUUGAAAAGAAACACGAAAAUAGGUAUCCUAACAGGAUAAACACACAAAAAAAGGACGAGCCGCCCCUGUACUUUCGGAUGGUCUCUCUUCACGGCGUAUUAGCCACGUUUGCAUGUGUACGAAUGGACGGAUCUGAUUCGAUCGGUACAAUGAGAAAACAUCAAUCUUGCUAAUGACUACGCUAUAUUCGCAUAUUCCGGGAGCAGAAUGAACCCGGUGUGUCUGCUUUGAACCGAUAAAUCAUACAGUUUUUUGUGAAGAGAAGUCGAGAUAGAGUUGAAGGAAAAUUUUAUUUAUUUGUCUGCUUAUUGUCUGCAAUGUGAAUAAAAAUUUGAUUUAUUUCAGACGAUUUGCCCGUCAUCAUCGAAUCAUGUUUUUAGAUGUACUUAUGUUAUCGGGGAGAUUGGGAUCGAGUGGAGAUGGAUGAAUGCGAGUUCGGGUCGGCAUUUUUACAAGGAAAGAAAUAACUUUUUUCUCUGUUAUAAACUUGCAAAAUCCCACGAAACUACUUACAUCCUUUCAAGACAUCGCAAUAACACUCACUACAAUAAGAAGGAUGCGCCUGAAUUCAGCGGUAACAUAAGAAUUUUGCAACGCAAAGACGACAAUCCAAUAAAAUAGGAGUAAUAUUGUAUACAGAAUGUGCAUCCAUGCACUAGCAUAAUAUAAAUUUUAUUCUGUAUGUAUUUGGACGGUAUUAUUUA